rnacentral:rRNA from 1 species
GACUACCGGGGUAUCUAAUCCUGUUUGCUACCCACGCUUUCGUGCAUGAGCGUCAGUAUCGACCCAGGGGGCUGCCUUCGCCAUUGGUGUUCCUCCACAUCUCUACGCAUUUCACUGCUACACGUGGAAUUCCACCCCCCUCUGCCGUACUCUAGUGAGACAGUCACAAACGCAGUUCCCAGGUUGAGCCCGGGGAUUUCACGCCUGUCUUAUCAAACCGCCUGCGCACGCUUUACGCCCAGUAAUUCCGAUUAACGCUCGCACCCUACGUAUUACCGCGGCUGCUGGCACGUAGUUAGCCGGUGCUUCUUAUUCCGGUACCAUCAUCCACACAGGGUAUUAACCCAUGCGAUUUUUUCCCGGCCGAAAGAGCUUUACAACCCGAAGGCCUUCUUCACUCACGCGGCAUGGCUGGAUCAGGGUUGCCCCCAUUGUCCAAAAUUCCCCACUGCAGCCACCCGUAGG